GCAGGGGGAUAGGGGGCAGAUGUCCCAUUGAAGAGCCCAGAGUCCCUCUGGAGCUUCCCAUGCUCUCUGGUCUCCUCUGGGAGCUGUACUCCAUACAGGGGAGCCGUCCCUCUGGGGUGGGGCAUAGCCACAGGUUAACCCCCCACAGCAGCUUCUCAGAUCUACUACACCUGCCAGCCUCUAGCGCUUCCCCUCCAAGGGCCUCAAUGCACGUAAGAACAGAAGAACAGACAUACUUGGUCAGACCAAAGGUCCAUCUAGCCCAGUAUCCUGUCUUCCGACAGUGGCCAAUACCAGAUGCCCCAGAGGGAAUGAACAGAGCAGAUAGAGAAGCUGAGGCACAGAGAAAAAUGAUUUGCCCAACAUUACACACAGCCACUGGCAGAACCAGUAACAGAAAACAGCAGUACUGACUCCCAGCCUAUAUUCUAAACAUUAGGCCACGUUGUCUUCCCUCUACAGCCGCUAUAGGAUAUUCAGGAGAAUCCCCAUAGUUGAUUUACACUGUUGGGUAAUUUGGAGAAGCAGAAUGUAGUUUCCUACAAUUCAAGGGCAAGGCACCUGCGUUAACACUCCAGUUUUGAUAUAAAGUACCCAGGGGUUCUUAAGAACCACAAGCAAUCAGUUGCCCAGUAUGAUGUACCUUGCAACAGAUGACACCUCUGACAGCAGCACUCCAGCAGCACCUAUACAGGCUAUCUGAGGAAACAGAGGACAAGUAUGAAAAAUACUGAACCAAGCUUAUUCUGAGGUAUUAAGAAGGAUGGUCUAGUGAUUUGAGCACUGAAUUAUGACUCAAGAGACCUGGCUUCAAUUCCUAGCUCAACCAUAGACUUCUUGUGUGACCUUGGGCAAGUUGCUGUAAAAUGCGGGUAGCACUUCCCUAUCUUACAGGGGUAUUGCAAGGAUAAAAUCCCUUUAAUGAUGGUGAGGCACUUAGGUACUAAGGUGGUGAGGAUCACAUGUGUGGAGAAAUUUUUUUAGGGGACAACUCCCCACAAUGUUUAUUUGUAUUACAAAAUCCUGCAUUUAUAUCACUGUGUAUUGUCUGUUACAUGACUGUUACUUGAAAUGACACGCAUUUAAUCUGA